rnacentral:misc_RNA from 1 species
GAUGAAGAACGCAGCGAAAUGCGAUAAGUAAUGUGAAUUGCAGAAUUCAGUGAAUCAUCGAAUCUUUGAACGCACAUUGCGCCCCUUGGUAUUCCGAGGGGCAUGUCUGUUCGAGCGUCAUAUUAACCACUCCCGCUUGCGGGGUCUUGGGCUUCGCCUCCGGGCGGGCCUUAAAAUCAGUGGCGGUGCCGUCGGGCUCUACGCGUAGUAAAUUUUCUCGCGAUAGGGUCCCGGUGGAUGCUUGCCAACAACCCCCAACUUCUUAAGGUUGACCUCGGAUCAGGUAGGGAUACCCGCUGAACUUAAGCAUAUCAAUAAGCGGAGGA